UCAACGGUUUUUUUUUUCGGUUGGUUGGGACAACUGAGGAAACACUCAACAAAAAGGUUAGUAUUGUUUCUGUAAUUAUUUUAUUUAAAACCGAGAUAUUUUCAAAUGCAGUCACUUAUUAACAGCAACCUAACACGAACCAGUGUUGCAAAUUGAGUGAGUUGUGAGGACAAUAUUCCUGUAGUCAAGACUUUUUUUCUGCCUGUUUGUCAAGGCCUGAGGUAAUGUUACAAUUGUUACUGCCGUUAUCAUUAUGACAACUUAAACGGGGUGAAUAAAGUUUACAUUGACUGAUAUUUAGUGACACAGAAACAAAAUAAGCUUUUUUUAAAUGCUCCUCUGCCUCUUUAAUGUAAAUUAGCUAAGCAGGAGGACUCUGUGGAAACUUUACGUUAACAGCAAACUAUCUUGAAGUACAAAAAGAAAACAACCGCGGAACGUCGGAGGUUUGGAGUUGCUUGGAGUUCUUUUCUGGCGGUUACCGUCAUCUGAAGAAACUGGUCACUGCAACUCCAGCAGAUGCAGAGAGAAGCCUCUCUCUGCCCAGUACCCCAAGACUGAUUGCACUUGGUUCAUUCUGAGAAUAAACCCUGAUGACACCAAAUGCCUAAAUCACAAAAUCAAAAUCACAGAUCAGCCGGGCAUCUGGAAAAAGGGUGCAGAGAAAAAUCGCCAGCCUGAAUCCUCUUGUGACAUCUUUCAUCAGAGAGCUUGUUGAAUUCGAUUGGCCAAAUUAUUGAAAGAAAACACGACUAAAACAUGUUUUUACUGUUUGAUUUGUUCUGCUUUUCAGAAUGUUUUUCAGAAUUUUUUAGCCAUGUUACAAAUACACAGGAUGAAUUCAAACACAUUUGUAGAAUGUACUUUUUAAAGUAAAUGUUAAAUAAUGAAAUAGUUAAACAAUAAAACAGCACAUUUUAAUGACAAAUGUUCAUAAGAAUUUAUGCAUUUUUGGGGGAUUAAAAAAUGUAUAGUUUACAGCUAGUGGUUUUUCAUUCGUUAAACAUCAGUUACACCUGUUGUUAAUUUCAUUAAUUGGUUCGUCUUUUUAUACUCUGUGUUUGGUUUUGUUGCUUUGUUUUCUGAGUAUUUUCAGUUCUAUAUUAAAUAAAACUUUGACUGCUGCGAUUAGAUCAGUUUCAUCCAACUUUAUUGCAACCUUACCAGUGACAUGUAGAUUAAAAUUUUAUUAAUUUUGUAACAAUAAAGCAAAUGAAGCUAGACCCAAAUCUACAAAAAAAGUCUGAGUAAUAUGAAAUCAAUUCUAGUACUGUAAAUAAAAAUACAGUACUUGUACUGUAAAUAAUAAUACAAUAUACAGUAUUAUUACUGCAUAUUAAAAUACAGUACUUGUACUGUAAUUGAAAAAUACAGUACUCAUACUGUAAAUAGUAAUACAGUAUGCAUUAUUAUUACUGUACAUGGAAUUACAGUAAUGAUACUGUAAACUAUUUUACAGUAAGUUACUGGCAUCCAGCUGCCA